rnacentral:lncRNA from 1 species
CUGGACUCACAGGCCUCCCUUCCACUCACAGCUUUUUGAAGUAGCUCUGUGGACUUACACCAGAGAGAUGAAAAGCUGAAAUCCAGCUGCCGUUCAUUCCUGCUUUGAGAUUAGGAAAGGUAGAGCUGAAUUUGGGCUAUGUUACUCAGAAGCUUUUCCCCAGCUGAUGGAGGCCUGCCCUGGAGGUGCUCAGCUCCAUCUCUGCUGUCCAGGCUGUGAGCAAGAACACCUAAGGAAAGCCAGCAGCCUCCUUCACUCUCCCUCCCCAUCCAUUCAGAUUUUAGGAGAUCUGCAGGUGCCAGGGAUCCUGCCUCCAGCUUGGGUCCAGGGUAAAUUUCGGCCAAGAUGAAGCCUCUUAUUGGCUGCAUGAAUUCUAGCCUCCUUCAUUAACAUGAAGAGUGCCGUGCUCCCCGCUGUCUUAGGAGUUACAGAACAUUUAAAAGAUGAUUUGCGGACAGAUUAAGGACUUCAGAAGGAGAGAUGACACCAGACCUAGGUCUUGCAGAUGCAAACUCCUGUCAAGUGUGAGAGGAGGGGGAGUAUUAUCCACCAGUGGCAGAUAGGCUGGGCAUCUGGGCAGAAUGAUAAGAGCUGUGGCCCUGCAGCCAGUCCCUGCAUUUGCACCCUGAGUUUGCCAUGAGCUGUGUGACCUUAGUCAAGUUUCUCAACCUCUCUGUGCCUCAGCUUCCUUCUCUGAAAAAUGGGGAUCGUGUUUUGCACACAGCCCGACACACAGCAAAUAUUCAGUGACUGCUGCCGCUUUCUGCCAUGGCUAAAGGUGGUGUUGUGGUUUUCCUUCCAGGUUUUUAUGCUUUAAUUUCCUAACUGUUCCUGCAUUACUUCACAGUUGAUGACGUGUGGGGCCAAGCUCUUGGCACACGUGAGCACAGUGGAUAUUCAAGGAGCGUUAACUCGGGUCCAUUUUUCUUUCCAUCAAACACAGCCUCCUGGUAAAAGAGCCAUUCAGGAUGCCUGGAGGAGCCCAGAUUUCAAAUCUGAUGAAGUCUGCAGUUCUAUAAAUUCCCUCCCUCUUUUGUGCUGAUGGCAACGACUUUUAUAUGUAUUUUCAUGUCUUUCUCUCCAGAGAUAAAUUUUGUGGCCUGCCACUGAAUCUGCUUCCUAAAAUGUA